rnacentral:lncRNA from 1 species
GGACCUCAGAAGCCAUCUAAUAUAAUCCCUUCGUUUAAAAAAGGGGGGAAAUGAAGACAGGUUAGGUGAAUUUUUCAAGUUUACAAAAGCAGUUGAUGUCAGAGGUAUAUUUGAACCAAAGUCCUCUAACCUCCAAAUCUUUGUACUACAGCAUACUUCCUCCUCCUCUACUUUAAAGAAGGUAUAGUGGAUCUCAAGAAGAUUAGCCGACACCUAAAGUAAUCAGGGGAGCUGAAAAGAAGAUGGAUGAAAGAAAGUAAAGUUAAGAUGUUGGAGUUUUGGCUUCAAUCCUCUAUUGCUCAAAAUAGAAAGGAAGCAUGAAGAUACAUGCACAAAGGAGGAAGAGAAAAAUGAUAUUCCCAGAGGUCAGGUUGUUAAAUAUUUACCAACACACUCCUUCCUGAAAUCUUCUAUGGAGCAAAUCAUGGACAAUUCACAGCAUAAGAUCAUUGUUCUUCCUCUUGAGUUCCAAUAUUCUUGAGGAACAUACAUCUACUUCCUUUGCAGAUUUGGGACUAUCUGCAUUUGAUGCCUCCUGGGAAAUAAUGAGGACUUCCUCUAACUUUGAUGCACCCUUACCUUUCAGGAUGCUGGCUUUUUCAGUUUAGCUUCUUCUUGAGUAAUCUCAUACUGCUUUGGCUUUGAUUAUGUUUUAUGCAUUUUGAACCUGAAAUACUUGUCUGCUAAUAGC